ACUCCCUUAGUAUAACACAGUACAGUUGACUUCCAAUCAGCUAGCCCCAGAGUAACCCUGGGAGAGAGUA
rnacentral:tRNA from 1 species